rnacentral:rRNA from 1 species
GAUGAACGCUGGCGGCGUGCCUAAUACAUGCAAGUCGAGCGAAUGGAUUAAGAGCUUGCUCUUAUGAAGUUAGCGGCGGACGGGUGAGUAACACGUGGGUAACCUGCCCAUAAGACUGGGAUAACUCCGGAAAACCGGGGCUAAUACCGGAUAACAUUUUGAACCGCAUGGUUCGAAAUUGAAAGGCGGCUUCGGCUGUCACUUAUGGAUGGACCCGCGUCGAAUUAGCUAGUUGGUGAGGUAACGGCUCACCAAGGCAACGGUGCGUAGCCGGCCUGGGAGGGUGAUCGGCCACGCUGGGACUGAGACACGGCCCAGACUCCUACGGGAGGCAGCAGUAGGGAAUCUUCCGCAAUGGACGAAAGUCUGACGGAGCAACGCCGCGUGAGUGAUGAAGGCUUUCGGGUCGUAAAACUCUGUUGUUAGGGAAGAACAAGUGCUAGUUGAAUAAGCUGGCACCUUGACGGUACCUAACCAGAAAGCCACGGCUAACUACGUGCCAGCCGCCGCAGUAA